UCGACGACGACGGCAAAUUCGAUGAUGACGUAGACUCUAGGGUACGCUCGAGCUCCGCAAGGUGGCCGGAGAAGGAGAAGCAGGAGCGGAAGAAGAGUGGAUUGUGCUCCAAGGACCACGUGGAGAAGGCUGUAAUGAAGCCGGUGGGCUCGAAAGGGUCAAGAACCUGAUCGUUCUGGUGGUGGAUCGGAGGGGUGGGUAGGUCGGAGGUAACGAGACAAAGAGGGUUAUCUUGAGCGCGAAGGUGGAAGAGGUGGUGGGGCUGGAAUUGUCGCUCUUCGACAACGCGGCCGCAGGAAAUGCACUCUGUGAUGGACUUGCCGGUGCUCGUGGUGGCGCACCGCCCCUGCGCCGCCGAACAGUAGGG
rnacentral:misc_RNA from 1 species